GCCGCUGUAGCUCAGUUGGUAGAGCGGCGCUUUCGUAAAGCGUAGGUCUCCGGUUCGAUUCCGGACAGCGGCUCCA
rnacentral:tRNA from 1 species